rnacentral:lncRNA from 1 species
UCUGAUUCCAAGGUCCACAUUGCUGUUUCAACUACACUUACCAUCUUCUUAUCCCUAGCAUGCAUAUUGGAUUCUCUUUUGCUUGUCUGAGUACUUAGCUGGAAUCUGAGUGGUUCCUUCAGUUCAUUUUCCAAACCCUUCUGCCAGAACAAGCUGGUUCUUCUGGGAAGACGGAACUGCCUACGGCCAUAUGCACCCAUCUGUUCUUCUCUGCAAAAAUGUCUUGGCCUUUUCCACACAGAGCCAGUGGGUGGUGGGGGUGACCACUGCAGGUGGACAGGCCAGAUUGCAAGAGCCCCCAUUCUAGAGAGGGUCCUGUCCCAUACCCAGAAGGAAGGAAUGCUGCACAGAGGCCAAGAAGAAUCCAGACAGACAGGCCUUGCCGGGCUUCCCCGCUCAGUCUGUUUGUUUUAGACCAUGCCUUCUUUGUCCAGUCAUAUUUCUACAAGCCUGACCAUACUUUGCUGAACCAAAGCAUGAACAUGGACAGUUUGCUCUAUAUCUUUGGGUCUUCAUCCUGAAGGAUCCUGUGUCACAUAUAAAACUAUGAUCAAAUAAAUUUGUAUGCCUUCCUCCUAUUAAUCUGCCUUUUGUCAGUUGAUUUUAAGUGAACCUUUGGAAAGCUAAAGGGAAGCUUUCCCUAGGUCCCUGUAACAUGUUAUGUUUUAGAGGUUUCAAAAUUAUUCAAAUGCUUUUGUAUGUUUUGAAUAUUUUCAUGGCAUG